rnacentral:rRNA from 1 species
AGAGGAAGUAAAAGUCGUAACAAGGUUUCCGUAGGUGAACCUGCGGAAGGAUCAUUAUCGAGUUUGGGUCCUUCGGGGCCCCAUCUCCAACCCUUUGUUUACAUCACUUUGUUGCUUUGGCAGGCCCGUCCCCUGGGUUCCAGGGGACCGCCGGGAGCGUCUGACGCCUCUGGCCAGCGCCUGCCGAUAGCCAAUUUAAAAUUCUUUUAGUAAAAUGCUGUCUGAAUUGAAAACAUAAAUUUAUUAAAACUUUCAACAAUGGAUCUCUUGGUUCUGGCAUCGAUGAAGAACGCAGCGAAAUGCGAUAAGUAAUGUGAAUUGCAGAAUUCAGUGAAUCAUCGAAUCUUUGAACGCAUAUUGCGCCCUUUGGUAUUCCGAAGGGCAUGCCUGUUCGAGCGUCAUUAUCAACCUUCAAGCCCGGCUUGUCAUUGGACCCGAUCCAUCUCAUGGAUCCGUCUGAAAAAUAAUGGCGGUGGACGCAAAUAGCCCCUGGCAGAGUGAGCUUUACGCAUCAGUCACGGCGGUCAUUGCAGCCCCGGUCGAACCCGAAAUUUAUUUCACGGUUGACCUCGGAUCAGGUAGGAAUACCCGCUGAACUUAAGCAUAUCAAUA